rnacentral:rRNA from 1 species
GACGAACCGAGCGAACGUUGUUCGGAAUCACUGGGCUUAAAGGGCGCGUAGGCGGGCUGUCAAGUCUGGGGUGAAAUCCCGCGGCUCAACCGUGGAACUGCCUCAGAUACUGACGGUCUCGAGAGAGGUAGGGGCGAGCGGAACUGAUGGUGGAGCGGUGAAAUGCGUUGAUAUCAUCAGGAACUCCGGUGGCGAAGGCGGCUCGCUGGACCUCUUCUGACGCUGAGGCGCGAAAGCCAGGGGAGCAAACGGG